UACGAAGGGGGCUAGCGUUGCUCGGAAUCACUGGGCGUAAAGCGCGUGUAGGCGGCCUGCUAAGUCUGAUGUGAAAGCCCGAGGCUCACCCUCGGAAGUGCAUUGGAAACUGGCAGACUGGAGUCCCGGAGAGGAGGGUGGAAUUCCUGGUGUAGCGGUGAAAUGCGUAGAUAUCAGGAGGAACACCGGUGGCGAAGGCGGCCCUCUGGACGGUGACUGACGCUGAGACGCGAAAGCGUGGGGAGCAAACAGG
rnacentral:rRNA from 1 species